ACUGUAACGUCCUGAUCUCGCACCCUCUGACUUUUUCCCAAGCUGAAAGAACACCUGAAGGGACACGUUACACUAAUGAUGCAGAAGUGCAGGCAGCUGUGCGUCACUAGUGCUGAUAGAAGACACCAGACAGAGAAAGUGUGUCGAAAAGGAA